rnacentral:rRNA from 1 species
UACGGAGGGGGCAAGCGUUGUUCGGAAUUACUGGGCGUAAAGGGCGCGCAGGCGGCUGCUCAAGUCAGGCGUGAAAGGCCUGGGCUCAACCCGGGAAUUGCGCUUAAGACUGGGCUGGCUUGAGUGCGGGAGAGGAUGGUGGAAUUCCCAGUGUAGAGGUGAAAUUCGUAGAUAUUGGGAAGAACACCGGUGGCGAAAGGCGGCCAUCUGGACCGCAACUGACGCUGAGGCGCGAAAGCGUGGGGAGCAAACAGG